rnacentral:lncRNA from 1 species
GGAAGCACAGGGGCCUGUCGAUGCCGCCCCUGCAGCCGCGCGCAGGGAGCACCCCAGGAGGAGAGACCUGGACUUCCUCAGAUGCCUGGGGGCCAGGUGGAGGCCGCUGCAGCUCCCAGGAGAGAGAGAGCUGCCCGUCCUCCAGCCCCCUCCUUCAGCUCAGCCCCGAGGCCACCGGCCCUGCCCGCCGCCCCCUGCCCGUCCUGCCCCCGCAGCUCGGCUCUGCUCAGCUGGAACUGGAUCGAAACCUCCAAAAUGAGUUUUCCCUGCAUGUCAGCCCUUUCUCUCUCCCGGCGCUGUUCCCUGAGCAUCUGACAGCAGACAAAAGGGGAGAGAAAAAAAAAGAAGAAAAAUACUCGCAUUUUCUGAGACAAUUCACAGGAAUGUUUAUCUGCACAUGUUGGAGAUGCUCCCCUGGCGGAACACAGGAGUGCCGCGGCUGCUGCCAAGGGCGAUUUGCAUUUAGGUUACUGGCGGGUCUCCUCCCCCUGGUGGGCCCACAGAGCCAGCGGAUCAGAGGGGAAGGUGUGCUGCACAUCCCAGCGAUUCUUCCAAGUCUCAGACUCCCCUGUUCCUUGUGGGGUUUGGGGGUGAAAUUUACAUCUUGGUUGGAUCCUCUGCUUCAGCGGCUCACACGAGGCCGCGAUCAAGUUGUGGCCGAGGCGGGGACGUGGUCUGAAGGCUCGACUGGGGAAGGGUCUGCUCCCGAGCUCCUGCAGGGGUGGACACGACUCUUCCUCGAGGGCUGAUGGACCAGGGGCCUCAGGUCCGGCCUGCCUGGUGGCUGUUGGCUGGAGGUGGCCUUCAGUGCCUUGCCAUGGGGGUGUC